GGCGGCCCGGUCGACGGUGGACGCUGGUGCGCGGCGGGCGAGGGUCCCGGCAGGUCCCGCCGCCGCGACUGGGGCGCCGCGCCGCCGUCGCUGCAGACGGUUAUGGUAAUGAGCGGCUCUGUCUAGCGAGGAGCGUGUGAAACCCGUCAAUCCUGUUUGCCAUUUCCCCGUGGAUUUCCGAGGAGAGGUUCUGCAGGAUGCCCCCAGGUGAUCCUCCGACUGUGAAAAACCAAACCUCUUGCUGCCUGGCUCCCUAGGAAUCAAGGAGAGGCACAGACUGAAAAUCAGAGAGGGAAGGAGUAAGAUCAAGGACGACGAUUAGCAUCUGCAAAUUGAACUCUAUCUAAUUUGCAUGUUUAUUUCUUAGAAUUGUAAUUAAAUUUGUGUAAUAAAUGUUUUCCAUUUCAUUUGUACACUUAAAAUUUGGGUGACUGACAUGCAGUUAAGUGAAUUUCUUUUCUUUUUUAAACAAAUGUAGUUUAUUCAAUAAAGCGGCAAACAAAUAUUAGACAUAAUUAGAACUAAUCUACUUUGAAGGUAUUUUUGUUGAACUUUGUACACUUAAAGUCUCUCAGAGGUUUUAAGGGUAUUAGGAAGCUGAGAGAAGGCAAUUAUGCUGAAAACAGCCUAACUCCACAGAUUUCCAGGAGCAUGAUUUCAUUUUUUCCAAAAAGACAUUUCAGGGUUGCAUGCCUAAAGUUGGGAGUUGGGCAGC